UAGGGAAUAUUGGUAAUGGGCGAAAGCCUGAACCAGCAACGCCGCGUGUGCGAUGAAGGCCUUCGGGUUGUAAAGCACUUUUGACCGGGACGAGGAAGGACGGUACCGGUGGAAUAAGCCUCGGCUAACUACGUGCCAGCAGCCGCGGUAAAACGUAGGAGGCGAGCGUUAUCCGGAUUUACUGGGCGUAAAGCGCGUGCAGGCGGUUAGCUAAGUUGGGUGUGAAAGCUCCUGGCUCAACUGGGAGAGGUCGCUCAAGACUGGCUGACUCGAGGAUGGUAGGGGAGGGUGGAAUUCCGGGUGUAGUGGUGAAAUGCGUAGAUAUCCGGAGGAACACCAGUGGCGAAGGCGGCCUUCUGGACCAUCAUUGACGCUCAGACGCGAAAGCUAGGGUAGCAAACGG
rnacentral:rRNA from 1 species